UACGAAGGGGGCUAGCGUUGCUCGGAAUUACUGGGCGUAAAGGGCGCGUAGGCGGACAGUUUAGUCAGAGGUGAAAGCCCAGGGCUCAACCUUGGAAUUGCCUUUGAUACUGGCUGUCUUGAGUACGGGAGAGGUGAGUGGAACUCCGAGUGUAGAGGUGAAAUUCGUAGAUAUUCGGAAGAACACCAGUGGCGAAGGCGGCUCACUGGCCCGAUACUGACGCUGAUGCACGAAAGCGUGGGGAGCAAACAGG
rnacentral:rRNA from 1 species